rnacentral:misc_RNA from 1 species
GAAAUGCGAUAAGUAGUGUGAAUUGCAGAAUUCAGUGAAUCAUCGAAUCUUUGAACGCACAUUGCGCCCCUUGGUAUUCCAUAGGGCAUGCCUGUUCGAGCGUCAUUUGUACCCUCAAGCUCUGCUUGGUGUUGGGUGUUUGUCCCCGUCUCCGCGCGUGGACUCGCCCCAAAGUGAUUGGCAGCCGGCGUACUGGUCCCGGAGCGCAGCACAUGUCGCGCAAACGAGUGCCUUGGUACGGCGGCGUCCAUAAGCCCCUCUCUCACGCUCUUGACCUCGGAUCAGGUAGGGAUACCCGCUGAACUUAAGC